UGCCAGCAGCCGCGGUAACACGGGGGGCGCAAGCGUUAUUCGGUAUCACUGGGCUUAAAGAGUUCGUAGGCGGCUAUGUAGGUCAGACGUGAAAUCCCACGGCUCAACCGUGGAACUGCGUUUGAAACCACAUAGCUUGAGGGAGAUAGAGGUGAGCGGAACAGAUGGUGGAGCGGUGAAAUGCGUUGAUAUCAUCUGGAACACCGGUGGCGAAAGCGGCUCACUGGAUCUCUUCUGACGCUGAGUAACUAAAGCUAGGGUAGCGAACGGGAUUAGAUA
rnacentral:rRNA from 1 species